CACCGGCAGCUCAAGUGGUGGCCGUUUUUAUUGGGCCUAAAGCGUUCGUAGCCGGCUUGAUAAGUCUCUGGUGAGAUCCCACAGCUUAACUGUGGGAAUUGCUGGAGAUACUAUCAGGCUUGAGGCCGGGAGAGGCUGGAGGUACUCCCAGGGUAGGGGUGAAAUCCUAUAAUCCUGGGAGGACCACCUGUGGCGAAGGCGUCCAGCUGGAACGGACCUGACGGUGAGUAACGAAAGCUAGGGUAGCGAACGGG
rnacentral:rRNA from 1 species